GGCGGGUUGGCCCGGUUGGGCCGCGUGGGGCUCGCGCCCUUCCCGACGUUGACCGUCUCCGUGCCGGCCGGGGUGCCCGCCGC
rnacentral:tRNA from 1 species